rnacentral:miRNA from 1 species
AAAGAGGUGGGAGGGACAAGGACAGGUCACUGUGGAACCCCAUCCUUAUCUCUCCCCAG